rnacentral:tRNA from 1 species
GGGGCAGUAGCUCAGUUCGGGAGAGCGGUACGUUCGCAACGUACAGGUCGGCGGUUCGAUCCCGCUCUGCUCCACCA